rnacentral:pre_miRNA from 1 species
CUCGGGGCGGGGGGAGGAGUCCCUCAGCCCAGAUUGCGAGAGGGUGCAAGCCAGGCUCAGGGACCCCACUGUUGCAUA